rnacentral:tRNA from 1 species
GCACGCGUAGCUUAAAUUAAAGUAUAACACUGAAGAUGUUAGGAUAGACCCUAGAAAGUCUCGCAGGCA